CCUACGGGGGGCAGCAGUGAGGAAUAUUGGUCAAUGGACGAGAGUCUGAACCAGCCAAGUAGCGUGAAGGAUGACUGCCCUAUGGGUUGUAAACUUCUUUUAUAAAGGAAUAAAACGAGGCACGUGUGCCUUUUUGCAUGUACUUUAUGAAUAAGGAUCGGCUAACUCCGUGCCAGCAGCCGCGGUAAUACGGAGGAUCCGAGCGUUAUCCGGAUUUAUUGGGUUUAAAGGGAGCGUAGAUGGGUUGUUAAGUCAGUUGUGAAAGGUUGCGGCUCAACCGUAAAAUUGCAAUUGAGACUGGCAGUCUUGAGUACAGUUGAGGUAGGCGGAAUGCGUGGUGUAGCGGUGAAAUGCUUAGAUAUCACGAAGAACCCCGAUUGCGAAGGCAGCUUACUAACCUGUGACUGACAUUGAUGCUCGAAAGUGUGGGUAUCAAACAGGAUUAGAUACCCGAGUAGUC
rnacentral:rRNA from 1 species